UAAUGCUAAUGUACAACUAGCAUCCGCCAGGGAACUACGAGCACCAGCUUAAAACCCAAAGGACUUGGCGGUGCCUCAGACCCCCCUAGAGGAGCCUGUUCUAGAACCGAUAACCCUCGUUCAAUUUCACCACUCCUUACCCUUUCCGCCUAUAUACCACCGUCGCCAGCUUACCCUGUGAAGGAAAAGUAAGCGAAAUGGAGACUCUCCAAAACGUCAGGUCGAGGUGUAGCACACGGAGUGGGAAGAAAUGGGCUACAUUGCCUGACUUAGGCUACCAACGGAAAGUCGCCUGAAAAGACUAUUUGAAGGUGGAUUUAGCAGUAAGAGGGGAAUAGA
rnacentral:rRNA from 1 species